GGCCACAUCACGUUGAAACACCGGUUCCCCUACGAACACCGAAGUUAAGCAACGCCGACCCUGGUCAGUACCUAUGUGGGUGACCGCUUGGAUACCAGGUGCUGUAAG